GGACAGCUUAGGCUUUUGAUUUGGGUGAGUGGCUGCUCUGACUGCGUGGAGAUCUGCCUGGGCAUCAAGCAGAGAAGGCCUCAAUCCACCACUAUCUCUGCACAGGAAGGGUUAGGAAACUCAGGCUGCUGGUCCGGGCAAGCAGUUGCUCCAAAUGCAUGGAGUUCUGCCUGGAUGUGGAGUGAAGAGGCCCCCCUGCAUCAGGAUCUCUACACAGGAAGGAUGGCCGUAGCUCAGGCUGCUGAACCAGAACAGAAAUUGUCUUGUCAUUCUGUGUCCCUUGGGACUCCUAUUAUUACUGGCAGAUGGUGCCUGGAUAAACAAGAAAUUCUGAACACUUUGAGUCUGGAAAUUUUCAGAACACCUAGACAGCAUCAGUCAUAACUCCAUACCUGUGUGAGACUGGAAGACUGGAUAGGGCUGAAGUUGGAGAAAUGCCUUUUCCCAGGGUUGUCAGACUGUCAUUUGUUCUGAUGAAGACCCCGCACUCCUUGAGUGGUCAGCCAGUUUUAUCCCAGGGCAGCCACACUUCAGAGGCCUCUGCAUCAUAAGCUUCAUCUAUCUUCAUAUUCAGCAAAACACCAGAUAAGUGGCUAAUUAGCAUAAUUAACAUCAGAAAUGGGUUUUCAUUGGUGAAUUUAGUGGCUUGUUAAUCAGCAUAAUGAAUGUUAGAAAUGGGUUCUGAAUUGUGAAAUUAGAAGAAAUCAAGAUAGUGAAUUGGUUAAAGUAUUAUAGAAACAUACUUAACACUUGCAUAAAAUGGGAAAUUAGAAUCUAUGAGAUCUGUUGGGAUGGCCCCGAAGGUUACAUCAUUAAAUGGACUUGAGUCCAGUCUUUGGGUGAGAGAAUUUCAUAGUGACUGAUGCAAAUUUGUAAAGGUAACAAAAUCUGCCUCUGAAAUAUUGCUAUGUUUGUCUCCUGUAAAUCAUUCAUGUAACAAAUAUGUAUAGUUUGUUCAUCUAAAAGCACAGUGAUCUGGGUCUUUAUCAAACUUAAACAAUAUUGUAUUCACUCUUUCGGGUUUGCCUGUGCAUUCAUGUUUAUGUAUGUCUGUAUGAACAUAGAUUUUGGUCUGAAACUUGCUUUUAUUACAACUGGUAACAAAGCUUGCUUACAAUGAGCAACAAAUACUCACACACAUCAAAAUGUUCAGCUUUUUCUAUAAAAGAACUUCUGAGUUGUAUGAAAUCAAAUUGGUUUACAUCAGUUCAGAACGGUUUGCAAUAAUGUGCUACAGAGAAGUAAACAUCUUCUGUUCCAGCAUUACAGGAUUCUGUAGUGUGUUGAAGACCUGCUGUUUGCAUUUCCUGCUGCCUUCAGUUGACAACCCUAUUUACAUCGCUUCUGAGAAGCUCAAGCUCAAAAAGACUGUUACGGAGACUUAGAAAUUAUGCCCACUUCAAUCUGGCUUCAAUCAACAGUCUUUGGAAUUAGCUCUCAAAAGAAACUGUAAUUAUGAACAGCACCCAUUCAAGGAACAUUUAUAAGUCCUUAUCUCACUUGACUGCCUUGCACACUUAGAAACAACUGAACAAUCUUCUGGAAGCAUCUUUUUUUGUGUGUGGUAGUCAUAUACAAUUAUAACUUAGCUUUACUUCUGUGAAUUUUUAAAAUCUCUGUCUUUCCCUAUGUCCUACUAAAGUGUAAAGUCAAUGAGGGCAGAGAUCCUGUCUUCUUUUUUUUAUGAGGGCAUACUCAGGGCCUAAUACAGUGAGUGCCUGGCACAGAGUAGGUGCUCAAUAAAUACCUCUGCAUGAGUGAAUGCAAGUAUCACUUACCUUAUUACAUAAAAAUCAUUUUCCUACAUUGAUCUUACCCCCACAUGGUAAGCUUCCAGAUGGCAAGGAAAAGGAAUUAUUUUGUAUUUAGAGUGCCUAGCCCAGGGAUUCAAUUUUUGUAAGAAUAAAAGCUAAAACAUAUCAUUUUCCAUAAAUGUUUGCAUCAUUUUAAGACCC
rnacentral:lncRNA from 10 species